UACGUAGGGAGCAAGCGUUGUCCGGAAUCAUUGGGCGUAAAGCGCGCGUAGGCGGCCUCGUAAGUCCGUUGUGAAAGUCAAAGGCUCAACCUUUGAAAGCCGAUGGAUACUGUGAGGCUAGAGUCCGGAAGAGGCGAGUGGAAUUCCUGGUGUAGCGGUGGAAUGCGCAGAUAUCAGGAGGAACACCAUAGCGAAGGCAGCUCGCUGGGACGGUACUGACGCUAAGGCGCGAAAGCGUGGGGAGCGAACAGGA
rnacentral:rRNA from 1 species